GACGAACGCUGGCGGCGUGCUUAACACAUGCAAGUCGAACGGUGAAGGGACCAGCUUGCUGGUUCUGGAUGAGUGGCGAACGGGUGAGUAACACGUGAGUAACCUGCCCCCUUCUUCUGGAUAACCGCAUGAAAGUGUGGCUAAUACGGGAUAUUCUGGGUCUGUCGCAUGGCGGGCCCGGGAAAGAUAUUGCUUCGGUGGGGGAUGGGCUCGCGGCCUAUCAGCUUGUUGGUGGGGUGAUGGCCUACCAAGGCGGUGACGGGUAGCCGGCCUGAGAGGGUGGACGGUCACACUGGGACUGAGACACGGCCCAGACUCCUACGGGAGGCAGCAGUGGGGAAUAUUGCACAAUGGGCGCAAGCCUGAUGCAGCGACGCCGCGUGAGGGAUGGAGGCCUUCGGGGUGUAAACCCCUUUCGCCAGUGAAGCAGGCCUGCUCCUUGUGGGUGGGUUGACGGUAGCUGGAUAAGAAGCGCCGGCUAACUACGUG
rnacentral:rRNA from 1 species